AUUGAACGCUGGCGGCAUGCCUUACACAUGCAAGUCGAACGGUAACGGGCCUUCGGGUGCCGACGAGUGGCGAACGGGUGAGUAAUGUAUCGGAACGUACCUUUCAGUGGGGGAUAACGUAGCGAAAGUUACGCUAAUACCGCAUAUUCUGUGAGCAGGAAAGCAGGGGAUCGCAAGACCUUGCGCUGAUUGAGCGGCCGAUAUCAGAUUAGCUAGUUGGUGAGGUAAAGGCUCACCAAGGCGACGAUCAGUAGCCGACCUGAGAGGGUGAUGGGCCACAUUGGAGCGGAGACCCGGUCCAAACUCCUACGGGAGGCAGCAGUGGGGAAUAUUGCACAAUGGGGGAAAGCCUGAUGCAGCAACGCCGCGUGAGCGAUGAAGGCCUUUGGGUCGUAAAGCGCUGUCGGCCGGGAAGAAAUCGCACGGGCUAAUACCCUGUGUGGAUGACGGUACCGGAAUAAGAAGCACCGGCUAACUACGUGCCAGCAGCCGCAGUAAGAC
rnacentral:rRNA from 1 species